GAUGAACGCUGGCUACAGGCUUAACACAUGCAAGUCGAGGGGAAACGACGGGGAAGCUUGCUUCCCCGGGCGUCGACCGGCGCACGGGUGAGUAACGCGUAUCCAACCUGCCUCUGACUGAGGGAUAACCCGUCGAAAGUCGGCCUAAUACCUCAUGGCAUCGUCUGCGGGCAUCCAACGACGAUUAAAGAUUUCAUCGGUCAGGGAUGGGGAUGCGUCUGAUUAGCUUGUUGGCGGGGUAACGGCCCACCAAGGCUACGAUCAGUAGGGGUUCUGAGGGGAAGGUCCCCCACAUUGGAACUGAGACACGGUCCAAACUCCUACGGGAGGCAGCAGUGAGGAAUAUUGGUCAAUGGGCGGGAGCCUGAACCAGCCAAGUAGCGUGCAGGAUGACGGCCCUAUGGGUUGUAAACUGCUUUUAGGCGGGGAUAAAGUGAGGGACGUGUCCUUCAUUGCAGGUACCGCAUGAAUAAGGACCGGCUAAUUCCGUG
rnacentral:rRNA from 1 species